CCACGGAGCCCUUCAGCAAAUUGGAAACAAGGUCACACACCACCCUUACUCUACCACUUGCACUGUGCAGCCCUCUGAGCCCCAUGGAGGAGCACCAGCCUGAACUCUGGAAUGAAAAGCUGUCUUAGCCCACGCCCUUGCUAUGGUGUGGAGGGACCUUUAGAUUUCCUCUUCAGAGCCUCUCAGUGCUCAGGUUUCUUCAAAUUCCCACCAGGCUCUGCAGACCCUUGUUGCCCACUUUUGGGGGACGAUUAGCUAGAAGGUUCUUUUUCACUCAGGGGCUUCCCCCAGGCCUGCUUUUGAUUUAGAAUCCCUUCCAUCCCCUUCCAAACUGAGCUCCUCAGAGCCCUAAUCCCUGUGCGCCUGACAGGGGCAGCAGGUUCUGAGACAAGGGGCUUAUGGGAAGCAGGAAUGUCCCAACAUUCUUGCUGGAGCCCUCCAUGCAAUACCCAAGGAGUGACUUGGAGGCGGAAUUGACAGGAUGCAGGGCUGGGGAGAGAAGAGGUGGCAGGAGAUAUUUCUCAGGCCCUGUGAUCAUCCUGCUUAGGAGUCUAGUGCAGUUUGUGACCACUUACUCAUUCCAUUGUCCUGUUGUUUUUAUUUUAUUUUUUUAUUGACAGUGUCUCACUGUGUAGCCCAGGUUGACCUCAAACUUGCAAUGAUUUCAGUGCAGAGAGAUGUCCAAACCUGUGUCCAUUUCCUGCCCUGGGCAACAUGUGGGUGUUGGUGAAAGAUCAGGUGGAACCUGACACUGAGGAACCAGACCUUCUGCUUAAUUCUCGGAACCUGGCCCCAUUGUCUCCCCUCCCUAUCCCAGAAAUUACAGCCUCCUGAGCCCUUCGGCCCUCACCGUGGCAUGACUUGGAUGCAGAGGCUGUGAGACGGUUAGUCCCUGACUGUGCUGGGAAGGCCAGCAUGGAAACACUGGAAAAAUGUGUAGGCAAGGAGAGGCGAGAUUCUGAACAGGCUCUGGCCCACCUUCUCCAGAAACUUGCCACGUGACUCUCAGUAGCUAUUAACUGCUGCCUGAGCCUGAGUUACCUCACCUGAAAAUCCAAAGGAGGACUUUGAGAUCUUCAGAACCCUGAUGAAUGUGCAUUUAGAAGGUGGGGAAGGGGCUGAUGUCUGGGAGAUGGGGGCAGGUGCUGGUGGGGUGUCCAUUAAAGAGUUGUGAUGACAUUGAGGUUAUAUCUGUGCUUGGCUCGUGUCAUUGAUGUCAGAUGUCCUACCUGGUUGAAACUGAGUGUUUGAAAUGUGCAUUAAGCCUUCCCCAGAGACACAAUGUUUAACAAGGACACAAUUUGUUUGAUUGCCAGGCAUUGUCUAUAUUGUUUUUAAAAACAACUUUAAUUCACACGCCAUAUUUUCACCCAUUUAAAGUG